CACAUCCCAGGUCCCCUCUUGUCCUCCGUGAGUUCAAGUCACUCGUUUGUUCAGGGAACCACCACUCCCAGCUGGUGCUAGAUGUCGCAACAGCCCCAUGCAGCAGCCCCCCAUGCAGCAGCCUGGCUGAUUUAGCUUUUCCUGGAGGUCCAGGAGCAGGUGGUGCAAUAGACCCUUCUGGGCCUUUUCUGGUACCUUCCUGGUAAGCAGCAAGAAGGACCAGCAGGUGGUGCCAAGCUCACGCGGUCACUGCUGGGAGGGAAAAGCCGCUGCAGCCACUUCCUCAAGUGACUGCUUCCCCAACUGACCAGGUGGCAAGUUCUUACCCUUCUGAGCCUGGGCAGCAUCCUCUGUCCACUCCGCUCUGCUCUUGGGCUUUGCUGAGCUGCGCUGAGCGAGGAACUGGUGAGCAAGCUGCUGUACCUGCACUUUAAGGACGACAAGACCAAAGUCAGCGGGGACGCACUGCAGCUCAUGGCCGAGUUGCUGAAGAUCUUUGUCGUGGAGGCGGCCAUCCGCAGCAUCUGGCAGGCCCAGGCAGAGGACCUGGCCCUCGUGGACGUGGACCAGCUGGAGAAGGUGCUGCCACAGCUGCUUCUAGACUUCUAGGGGUUUCCGUGCUUGCUGCGGCUGCCUGUCCAAGUCACAGCCAAGCCCCGUGUUCAUGUGUCGUCUGUGGCCUCUGACUUCAGGCAAGGAAGGAGCUGCUGAUCCCUGAGAUUCUCCUCCCACCCCGAAGACUGGGCCAGGUCCCAGCAAAAGCACCUCUCCUCCUAGUGUCCUCUCUGCCCUGCUGCCGACAGCCUGGACGCAGCAGAUGGGGGGGCGCUGAGGUGAUGGCGGGCCUGUGUGGGGAGCCAGGCCCAUGGGGUCUGGCGCCACAGCAGGUGCCCAUCCCUCGUGCCUCCCAGGACAGCCGAGCACCCGCUGGCGUGGGAGAAGCGCUGGGUCCUUGGGAAGCAGGUGCUGAGGGAGAAGUGGGGACCAGUCCACCUGAGCAGGUAACCUGUGUGUCUUCUACAAACAAGCGGAGCUGCACACAGUCCUGCCACCCCGACAUCAAAGCUGGUGUGUAACCUUUUAACCAUUUGAUAUUCCCCUCAGAAGAUGCUUCCCUGAGCUAUAAAUUUGUUCUCGUAAAGCAACAUCAAUAAAUCAAAGCUGCCUCUCCCAGG